UGGAGGAUUGAGAAGGUUGAGCAGCUUGUUUUAUGCUGUUGUAACUGGUUAUAACCUCCAAGAGUAACCAACAAACCACAAAAUUAAGUGGCUCUGUCAUAAGCAGAGCUGGUGUUUGUGCGUUUG
rnacentral:snoRNA from 1 species